rnacentral:lncRNA from 1 species
UUGUUUUGUGGGGUGUUCCCCUUGCUGGUCAAAGGAGUGGAAAGCCACCUUGCUGUAAAUGCUCUUGUUUUCUGUAGCAAUCUUGAACUCUUUUUUUUUUUUGUUCGUUUGUUUGUUUGUUUGUUUGUUUGUUUUUUCAAGACAGGGUUUUUCUGUAUAGCCCUGGCUGUCCUGGAACUCAUUCUGUAGACCAGGCUGGCCUCAAACUCAGAAAUUCACCUGCCUCUGCCUCCCAAGUGCUGGGAUUAAAGGUGUGUACCACCAUUGCAAUCUUGAACUCUUGACCAAUAGAAAUCCUAGACUAGUGUUGCUAGGCAACUGACUGUAUUCAGGACACCCAGGGUGGGAGGUGGAUGGAGCUCUUGCCUAACACACACCAAGCCCCAAGUUCCAUCCCCAGUCCCACACAAACCAGAUAUGAUGGUGUGUGCCUAUGUCCCCCACACACGAGAGAGCUGGAGGCAGGAGGAUCAGAAGUUCAGGGCCAUCCUUAAUCAUACAGUGAGCUUGAGAGCAACCUGGGCUACAUGUGACCCUAAUAACUUUUGUAAAUUCAGCACACUUGGCACCUCACACUCCAUGUCCAUAUACUGCAUGUGCCACACACACACACACACACACACACACACACACACACACAAAUGGUCUUUCCUCAUCUCCCAUAUACCUUGUCCCAAUUGCAUGGGGUCACCUAAGGUGCACAGACAAAGAAGUGCCACUCACUAAUGCUUCACUGGGGGCAUCAAGCUCCAGCCUGCAAGUGGAUUUUACAUUAUUUAUAUCUGGGAUAAAAAAAAAAAGUCAAAAGAAAUAAAAUAUGAUUCAGGCAAAUUCAAUGCAACUCAAAAUUUCCACCAAUCCCAUAUUGUCCCUAGCAAUGACAAAAUUAUUUGCAAGACAGACCCUGUGACCUGUAGAGGCAAAAUAUAUGGUGGCUUGCCUGGCUGGCCUGUGAUAUAGUGGACUGUCUUAGUGAUCGGACUUCAGGGAGCAACCUAUAGGAAAUGCAAAGGCUUAGAGGGGACGGACAGCUCCCUGACCCUGGAUGGCCAGGAAUGGUGCUAGCUAGGGUGUGAGCCAAGCCCUUGAGGCUACUGUGAGUUAUGAGAUGUGUCCAACCCUCAGCCCACAGACUGCAUAUGCCCCAGGACAGCUGUGAAGGUGACCCAAUACAAAAUCGUAAACUAACUUAAAACCAUUAAGGGUUUUUGUUUUGUUGUUGUUUGCUGGCUUUUUGUUUUUUGGGUUGGUUUUCUUUUUCUUUCUUUCUUUUUUUUUUUUUUUUCCAACUCAAGUGUGAACUUUGUUGAUGACCGUGUUGUUGUCUCCGUGUCAAAGGUGUGAGAUGCACAGCUAGUUAGACUUCAAGGCUGAUUUGGUCUGCCAGCGAUGCCAGCACAUAAGGUUGGCUUAAACAACAGUUGCUCCUUACUCCCAGAUCUGGGGUGAUCUCUUGAGGUGCCUUCCUGUAGUCUCUUGUGUCAUCUUCUUCUAAGACCACUAAUAACACCGCCUUUCUCCUUGAUCCGGGCCUCAGACCUCUUCAGAGAUUCUUUCUCUGAAUGUACGUGGGGGACUCCAACAGAUGUUGGGAGAAGACUCAAUAUGAGCAUACGGGGUCAUUGUUCAAUCCUGUAUCAAGACCUUGGAGUUGUCUAAGGCUGUGGGUUUUAAAUACCUGCUGCAGGCCUCCCAUCUCUGGCUCUUUGUUUCCACUCUGGCCCAAGUUUGAGUCUCCAUAUGGGCCCUUCCUGUCCUCAUGCCCUGCCUGUCUUCAUUCCACCCAUCCACCCUCCUAAGGAUUGGUCUUGUUCCGAGAGUGAUCCUGGUAACGCCAAGCCUCCCUCUGCCCCUGUGUUGGCUUCUGUGACGGACUACCACACACCAAGAGGUUUUUCACAGUGAAGAUGUAUGCUCUCACCAUCCUACAGAUGCAAAGACCAAACACAAAGUGUCUGCAUGACCUUCCCCCUCUGGAAUUUGUCUAGAAUUAUUUUCUUCUUGCUUUUUGACAUGUCGUGAUAUGUGAUAAACUCAUAUUCCCUGGCUUUUUUGGAAACCUCUCUCCAAUCUUUACCUUUGCCUCUACUAGAUGAUCUUGCAUCUGUCUUUGUGGGACUCUUUUUAUGAGGAACCAGUCCUGU